rnacentral:rRNA from 1 species
UGGGGAAUUUUGGACAAUGGGGGAAACCCUGAUCCAGCCAUCCCGCGUGUGCGAUGAAGGCCUUCGGGUUGUAAAGCACUUUUGGCAGGAAAGAAACGUCGCGGGUUAAUACCCCGCGGAACUGACGGUACUUGCAGAAUAAGCACCGGCUAACUACGUGCCAGCAGCCGCGGUAAUACGUAGGGUGCAAGCGUUAAUCGGAAUUACUGGGCGUAAAGCGUGCGCAGGCGGUUCGGAAAGAAAGAUGUGAAAUCCCAGAGCUUAACUUUGGAACUGCAUUUUUAACUACCGGGCUAGAGUGUGUCAGAGGGAGGUGGAAUUCCGCGUGUAGCAGUGAAAUGCGUAGAUAUGCGGAGGAACACCGAUGGCGAAGGCAGCCUCCUGGGAUAACACUGACGCUCAUGCACGAAAGCGUGGGGAGCAAACAGGAUUAGAUACCCUGGUAGUCCACGCCCUAAACGAUGUCAACUAGCUGUUGGGGUCUUCGGACCUUGGUAGCGCAGCUAACGCGUGAAGUUGACCGCCUGGGGAGUACGGUCGCAAGAUUAAAACUCAAAUGAAUUGAC